rnacentral:rRNA from 1 species
UACGGGGGGGGCAAGCGUUGUUCGGAAUUACUGGGCGUAAAGGGCUCGUAGGCGGCCAACUAAGUCAGACGUGAAAUCCCUCGGCUUAACCGGGGAACUGCGUCUGAUACUGGAUGGCGUUGAGUUUGGGGAGAGGGAUGCGGAAUUCCAGGGUGUACGCGGUCGAAAUGCGUAGAAUAUCUGGAGGAACACCAUGGCGAAGGCAGCUGCGUGGG